rnacentral:rRNA from 1 species
UCGAGCGGGCGUAGCAAUACGUCAGCGGCAGACGGGUGAGUAACGCGUGGGAACGUACCUUUUGGUUCGGAACAACACAGGGAAACUUGUGNUAAUACCGGAUAAGCCCUUACGGGGAAAGAUUUAUCGCCGAAAGAUCGGCCCGCGUCUGAUUAGCUAGUUGGUAGGGUAACGGCCUACCAAGGCGACGAUCAGUAGCUGGUCUGAGAGGAUGAUCAGCCACAUUGGGACUGAGACACGGCCCAAACUCCUACGGGAGGCAGCAGGU